rnacentral:rRNA from 1 species
CUUGUCCUACAUAAGAGGUCCAGCCUGCCCAGUGACAUUGUUCAACGGCCGCGGUAUCCUAACCGUGCGAAGGUAGCGUAAUCACUUGUUCUUUAAAUGAGGACUAGUAUGAAAGGCACCACGAGAGUCAUGCUGUCUCCUCUUUCUAAUCAGUAAAACUAAUCUCCCCGUGAAGAAGCGAGGAUAAAAAUAUAAGACGAGAAGACCCUAUGGAGCUUUAAACAAAUAACACUUGCCUAUUUCCAUUAAAUUUCAGAAAAACCAUUUACUCUGGCAUUAUAAUUAUAAGUUUUCGGUUGGGGUGACCACGGAAUAAAAAAUAACCUCCGCAAUGAAAUUACUCCAAAGUUAAGGACUACAAUCCUAUACAUCAACAAAUUGACAUCAAUUGACCCAACAUGUUGAUCAAUGAAC